ACGCCGUCCUCCCCUGCGGCCCCCUCGCCUAACGCCGUCCUCCCCUGCGGCCCCCCAGCCCAACGCCGUCCUCCCCUGUGGCCCCCUAGCCUAACGCCGUCCUCCCCUGCGGCCCCCUACCCCAACGCUGUCCUCCCCUGCGGCCCCCCUAGCCCAACGCCGUCCUCCCCUGCGGCCCCCUAGCCCAACGCCGUCCUCCCCUGCGGCCCCCAAGCCUAACGCCGUCCUCCCCUGCGGCCCCCUCGCCUAACGCCGUCCUCCCCUGUGGCCCCCUAGCCUAACACCGUCCUCCCCUGCGGCCCCCUACCCCAACGCUGUCCUCCCCUGCGGCCCCCCUAGCCCAACGCCGUCCUCCCCUGCGGCCCCCUAGCCCAACGCCGUCCUCCCCUGCGGCCCCCAAGCCUAACGCCGUCCUCCCCUGCGGCCCCCUCGCCUAACGCCGUCCUCCCC
rnacentral:lncRNA from 1 species